UACAGAGGUGGCGAACGUUGUCCGGAUUUAUUGGGUGUAAAGGGCAUGUAGGUGGUCUUGUAAGUCAAAGGUGAAAUGGCUCGGCUCAACCGAGUCAUUGCCUUUGAAACUGCCGGACUCGAGUACGGAAGAGGAGAGCGGAAUUCCCAGUGUAGCGGUGAAAUGCGUAGAUAUUGGGAGGAACACCGGUGGCGAAAGCGGCUCUCUGGUCCGAAACUGACACUGAGAUGCGAAAGCCAGGGGAGCAAACGGG
rnacentral:rRNA from 1 species